rnacentral:rRNA from 1 species
UACAGAGGGGGCAAGCGUUGUUCGGAAUUACUGGGCGUAAAGGGCGCGUAGGCGGCCUGCUAAGUCGAACGUGAAAUCCCCGGGCUCAACCCGGGAACUGCGUCCGAUACUGGUUGGCUUGAAUCCGGGAGAGGGAUGCGGAAUUCCAGGUGUAGCGGUGAAAUGCGUAGAUAUCAGGAGGAACACCGGUGGCGAAGGCGGUUCUCUGGGCAUGACCUGACGCUGAGGAGCGAAAGUGUGGGGAGCGAACAGG